GGAUUAGAUACCCUGGUAGUCCACGCCGUAAACGAUGGGUGCUAGGUGUCGCGGGCUUUGACUCCUGCGGUGCCGUAGCUAACGCAUUAAGCACCCCGCCUGGGAAGUACGGCCGCAAGGCUAAAACUCAAAGGAAUUGACGGGGGCCCGCACAAGCGGUGGAGCAUGUGGUUUAAUUCGACGCAACGCGAAGAACCUUACCUGGGCUAGAAAAUGCAGGAACCUGGGAGAAGUCUCGGGGUGCUCUUCGGAGAGCCUGUAGUUAGGUGCUGCAUGGCUGUCGUCAGCUCGUGCC
rnacentral:rRNA from 1 species